GACGAACGCUGGCGGCGUGCUUAACACAUGCAAGUCGAACGAAGUGGCGAACGGGUGAGUAACGCGUAAUCAACCUGCCCUUCAGAGGGGGACAACAGUUGGAAACGACUGCUAAUACCGCAUAGUGACGAAGUGGAAUGCGGAUGAUUGGCUAGUUGGAGGGGUAACGGCCCACCGAGGCGAUGAUCAGUAGCCGGUCUGGGAGGAUGAACGGCCACAUUGGGACUGGGACACGGCCCAGACUCCUACGGGAGGCAGCAGUGGGGAAUCUUCCGCAAUGGACGCAAGUCUGACGGAGCAACGCCGCGUGGUUGAUGACGGCCUUCGGGUUGUAAAGCUCUGUUAAUCGGGACGCGGUACCGGAAUAGAAAGCCACGGCUAACUACGUGCCAGCAGCCGCGGUAAUUC
rnacentral:rRNA from 1 species